AUGGACUUGAAGGGCACACCAGCUAAACAUUUGAAACGCAUGUUUUGCCCUGAAAGUGUUAGACCCAUUCGGACAGGCGGAGGGAACUUUGUUCACCGGGUGCCCCCAUGGUCUUUGCAACUAAUGUAGUCAGUCAUCUGAAUUAGAGACAGAUCUUUCUCCAUGCUUAGGUACCAUUUUAUUUUAUUUUCUAAUUAUUUAAACAUGUGGAUUAUGAUCAUGGAAAACUGCCCUAUAUAGUAUGUCUGCUUUUAGUCUUUCAAAUUGGAG
rnacentral:lncRNA from 1 species